CAAUAGCGUAUAUUAAAGUUGUUGCGGUUAAAAAGACUCGUAGUUGGAUUUCUGCCGAGGACGACCGGCCCGCCCUCUGGGUGAGCAUCUGGCUCGGCCUGGGCAUCCUCUUGGAGAACGUAGCUGCACUUGACUGUGUGGGGCGGUAUCCAGGACUUUUACUUUGAGGAAAUUAGACUGUUGCAAGCAGGCAUACGCCUUGAAUACAUUAGCAUGGAAUAAUAAGAUAGGACCUCGGUUCUAUUUUGUUGGUUUCUAAAGCUGAGGUAAUGAUUAAUAGGGAUGUUGGGGGCAUUCGUAUUUAACUGUCAGACGUGAUAUUCUUGGUAUUUGUUAAAGACGGACUACUGCGAAAGCAUUUGCCAAGGAUGUUUUCAUUGAUCAAGAAACGAAAGUUAGGGGAUCGAAGACGAUCAGAUACCAU
rnacentral:rRNA from 1 species